UACGUAGGGAGCAAGCGUUGUCCGGAAUCAUUGGGCGUAAAGCGCGCGUAGGUGGCUUCGUAAGUCCGCUGUGAAAGUCAAAGGCUCAACCUUUGAAAGCCGGUGGAUACUGCGGAGCUAGAGUCCGGAAGAGGCGAGUGGAAUUCCUGGUGUAGCGGUGGAAUGCGCAGAUAUCAGGAGGAACACCAAUAGCGAAGGCAGCUCGCUGGGACGGUACUGACACUGAGGCGCGAAAGCGUGGGGAGCGAACAGGA
rnacentral:rRNA from 1 species